UGUUGUGAUGAUACCGUGACAAAUGGCAUUCCUCGAACGGAAAUACCAUGUCGAAUUUGUCAAUAAAAAGUUUCAGCCUUGUCUGACC
rnacentral:snoRNA from 1 species